GACGAACGCUGGCGGCGUGCCUAAUACAUGCAAGUAGAACGCAGUUGCGAACGGGUGAGUAACGCGUAGGUACCUGCCUCAUAGCGGGGGACAACUAUUGGAAACGAUAGCUAAUACCUCAUACUGUGAGCUUGACUUGCGUUUGAUUAGCUGGUUGGUGAGGUAAAGGUUCAACAAGGCGCCGCUACAUAGCCGACCUGAGAGGGGGAUCCGCCCAACGGGGACCGAGGCAAGGCCCAGACUCCUACGGGGAGCAGGAGUAGGGAAUCUUCGGCAAUGGAAGGAAGGCUGAACGAGCAAAGCCGCGUGAGGGAAGAAGGUUUUCGGAUCGGAAAGCUCUGGUGUUAGGGAAGCGAGAACUAAACAGAAAGGGACGGCUAACUACGUGCCAGCAGCCGCGGUAAUAC
rnacentral:rRNA from 1 species